rnacentral:snoRNA from 1 species
GGAUCGAUGAUGACACCCUCACAUGCAUUCCUUGGAAAAUCUGAACAAAAUGAGUGAGAACCCACUACCGUCUCCUCAUCGAAACUGAGGUCC